rnacentral:rRNA from 1 species
UAUCUCUGUAGAGUCUGCAUAUCAAUAAGCGGAGGAAAAGAAACUAACAAGGAUUCCCCUAGUAACGGCGAGUGAAGCGGGAAGAGCUCAAAUUUGAAAUCUUAAAGGGUUUCCCUUUACGAAUUGUAGUUUAAAGAAGUGUUUUCUGUUGAAGUUUUGGUAAAAGUUCUUUGGAAUAGGACAUCAUAGAGGGUGAGAAUCCCGUAUUUGACCGUUAUUUUCAGCUGUGUGAUACACUUUCAAAGAGUCGGAUUGUUUGGGAAUGCAGUCCAAAAUGGGUGGUAAAUUUCAUCUAAAGCUAAAUAUUGGCGAGAGACCGAUAGCGAACAAGUACCGUGAGGGAAAGAUGAAAAGAACUUUGAAAAGAGAGUUAAACAGUACGUGAAAUUGUCAAAAGGGAAGCGUUUGACACCAGUGUUGUUUUCUCGAAAAUCAAUUAAAAAUGGCUUGAUUUUGUGUUGUAUUGACCUUAAAAGCUUUCUUCACUUUUUUCAUGUCUUUUUUAAUGCACUUUUCGUUUAACAAGUCAACAUCAGUUUCUUUUGUUGUAAAAAGGUCAUUGGAAGGUGGCUUUCUUUUCGGAGAAAGUGUUUAUAGCCUUUGACUUCUGCAAUCGGAGAGACUGAGGUCUGCAGCGUAGAUCCUUCUGGAUUAGAUUCAUUUGUGCUAAGUUACAACCGUUUAUAGACAACUUGUUGACUAUAUUCGAUCCUGUAGCUUACUCGCUUAUGUAAUUUUACCUACGCUUAGGAUGUUGAUAUGCAUGACUGAUAU